GAUCGAUUUUCAAUUUUUGUUUAUGUUUGUAAGGGCUUGAAAAUAUAUGGCAGUUGGACCUUAUGUUGAGACAGUCAGGCCCAUAAAGCUAAGGGCACUAUGACCUUAGGAAGGAACCUUUCAAAAUCUGAGUUCAUUAUCUCAGUUUUCCAUUCUCUCUCUAAAAAGUUUGCUCUUCCAUUUCUCUCUGCUUUCUCUCUACCAUUCCCUCACAUUUAGUGGUUGCAUGUUGGAUUAGGUGGUGCUCAAGUGACCACGGCGUAGAGACCUUCGCAACCAUCCGAAUAGAUUUUCAUUCUUCAGCGGGGUGCUGUUUAGAUUAUUCGCGUG
rnacentral:sRNA from 1 species